AAGUGAUCUUUAAAAGGAUCUGGAAUAGCUUCCUCCCUUCUUCCUUUCCUCAUUGGCGGUGACAAACACCAUUACCUAUAAAAGUAGAAAAAUACACAAGA